rnacentral:lncRNA from 1 species
AAAACUGAGAUUGAAACAUAAGAUCAGAGAGGGCUUUGGAGCUUAGAGUGCUCAAUGAUAUUUUACAAGGAAACCUCAAAUUACCACAGAUUAUAAAUCGUUCAUGUGCUUCUAAACCUCCAAAAUGAAUGAGGCCCUAUGCCUCAGAGUCUACUCAAUCCUUUCUUUUCAGAACCACUUUGUUACACACCAGAAGACCAAUAAUUUAAUGUUCUAUUUGUGUACAUGCUUACCUAGUAGACUUUGUUACUCCUAACAUCUAUAAUCAAGACUUAUGUUGAGUUGUCAAGUUCUCUCUAGAUAUGAAUUUGCAGUCCAAACAAAACUUUCUAUCUAGUUUCUUUAUAAGAAAUAAAUUAAUUUAAGAACGUGUAACUCCACUCUUUUAUGUGAUAAGAUGCUUCUUCUGCGUUUUAAAACACAUGUUGGCUAUUUUAAAAUCAAAAGCUUAGAAGAAAUCUAGGAUAGUCCUAUCCUUUCAUAUUUGAUUCCAGUAUGUCAUAACCCCAUGAAAACAUUCAAAUGCUCUAAUGUCAUUCUCUUCAUGCCAUUAAGAUCCCUUCCUAAGAAACUCUAUUCUUCUAAAGGUAUUUCAUAGACUAUGCCUUCCAAAUCCUCCCAAAUUUUUAUCUUAUAAUAUUCCUCUAGCCAUAUCGGACUAAUCACAUUAAAGGAGGUGUCUUUUUUUGAUACAAACUUUAGGAUUAUGAUCCUAUUCUCCUAUUCUUUUUAUAUCCACCAUGAAAUCUAGGAUAAUCCUAUCCUUUCAUAGAUGAUCAAUUUUACGUUCUUCUUUCAUUCCCUAACUACAAUUUUAUCAAUCUUGUCUUACGGGAGGAAAUUCUGAGAUUUUCAAUUUUAUCAAUCCUAUCUCCUACAUAAAAUUCAAAGAUGAUCAAUUUUAUGUCAUUCUUUCAUCCCCUAUCUCCAAUUAUAUCUACAUAAAAUUCAGAGAUGAUCAAUUUUACGUCCUUCUUUCAUUCCCUAUCUACAAUUUUAUCAAUCUUACUGUACUACCACAACUUAAAAGUCUCAUUCAUGUGCCUUGUUCCCAACCUAUUUAGUUUCUUGUGGAUAUAUAAAAUUGAUCACUCUCCUAAUCAUUAUGUCUACUAUUUUUUAUUGAUUUACUUGUUCCUAUUCAUAUCGUAGAUCGUAAACUAGUUUCUUUACCUACACCUACUGAGUAGCCCUUACUUUUUUGAUAUUGUACUUAGAUGAUAUACCACAUUGCUUAUGGAUAAUGAAAAUGGACCCUCUCCAUUAUUGGAGGGUCCAGUAUCACAUAAGAUUGUGACAUGUAGACUUUAAAAAAAUUGAUAGUUCAUAUUUUAAAAUAUUUUUAGGCAAAAACUUACUAGAAAUGAUGAAAUAAAUAUGGGUCUCACAUUCCAGUAUUGGACCCUCCAGUACUGGAGAGGAUCCCGGGCUCAUGGAUAAUGGCCUAACAUUAUCACAUCGUCGAUCCAUAUCAGAGAUUCAACAAAGUUUUAUAUUAGUUGACUGCACAAUACAACUUCCACCUUUUAUCCUAACCUAACUCACACUGUUAGUGACAUUUUUUAUUUUUAAAUGGGUAAUAUUAAAAGGAAGAGUAAAUUACACGACACCCAUGAGUUUUAGCGAAAUUACACAAAUCACCCCUCAAUUUUUUACACCUACAUAAACCCUGCCAAUUUUUAUACUUUCAUUACACGGACCACCGCUUGAUAAAUAAGUGUAAUCUUUUAAACAAAAAUGUGAUAAAUGCAAUUAAGUCAAACAAAACAUGGUAUGGAAUUACAGGAAGUAGAAAAUGGAGCUGCAAUUGCUUCUGUGACAGAAAUUUCAGAGGGUCAGCAAAAAGUUGUGGUGAAAGAUGAUUCAGGAGUGCAAGUAUCUUCCCAUGGGAGAGUUUUUCUCCUUGGAGAGAAUCGAUGGGAAGAACCUUCAAGACUUGUUGCAACUCCUGGAGUCGACAGGACCAAGAACAAGGAUGGAACAACAAAAUGCCUUCAAUGUCGCGGGGAAGGUCAAUUGUUAUGUACGGGUAUGAAAUUUUGCUUAUAUUUUAAUGAAACUUCAGUAUCCUUUAGUAGGUUCAUAGUGCAUUGUUCUGGAAGACAACUUUCAUUGUUAAACUACAUUUAAUUUGAUAUAAGCUUCAAGAAGCAGUGCUGUUCAUAAAGGGUAACAUAUUGUAUUUUCUAGAACAGGUUUUUCUAAUCCUCGUGCUGAACUGGUAUUAGUUUUCUUCUGUACCCUUUGCCUUCUAUAUAUUCUUCUUUGGAGGAAUUGAUAACUUAGGUAUGCCUUUGUUUCUUCAUGCAUGCUUCACAUCAUAAGGAAACAACUUCUAACAUAGACUGCUAGGUUUAUGAUAAUAUUAAUCUGUAUUUGGAUCUCUUACAAUAACCAUUACAAAGGAAAUCAUAAGACCGAUUUUUGACAGAUUGGUAUGUGUAUUAUUUUUAUGAACACUUAUGAAAAUUUCUCAGUCAACUUCCAUUUCUUUUAUUGCAGAAUGUGACGGAUCAGGUGAACCAAAUAUUGAACCCCAAGUAAGGGAUAUUUAAAUUUUGUAAAGAAAAAUUACUUUUGUUCUUAUUUUCCUGAGUUGCACAAGCUUUUGAACUUACCAAUGAGUUCUCUAAUGCAGUUUAUGGAGUGGGUGGGUGAGACUACAAAAUGUCCAUAUUGUGAAGGCCUAGGCUAUACUCCAUGUGAUCUGUGUGGAGGGAAAGCUACAGUAUAAGUAUGACAUACAUUCUUCAGCUAUUCAUGCAUGUAUAUUGUUGUCAAUAUCAAUGCAUCACAAAAAUUGGUUGUUCCUGAAUGUUCUCAACUGGAAAAGAAAGUAAUUCCAUCUAACCCCAGAGUACAAUAGAGCAAUUAUCAAAACAGUGAAGCAUGUAUGUCAAUCAUCAAAACUGAGAUUGAAACAUAAGAUCAGAGAGGGCUUUGGAGCUUAGAGUGCUCAAUGAUAUUUUACAAGGAAACCUCAAAUUACCACAGAUUAUAAAUCGUUCAUGUGCUUCUAAACCUCCAAAAUGAAUGAGGCCCUAUGCCUCAGAGUCUACUCAAUCCUUUCUUUUCAGAACCACUUUGUUACACACCAGAAGACCAAUAAUUUAAUGUUCUAUUUGUGUACAUGCUUACCUAGUAGACUUUGUUACUCCUAACAUCUAUAAUCAAGACUUAUGUUGAGUUGUCAAGUUCUCUCUAGAUAUGAAUUUGCAGUCCAAACAAAACUUUCUAUCUA